AGGAGAUUUAAAGGUGCAAACCGCCGAGGGAUUGGAAUAUGUCCUAUUAGCUAGUUGGCGGGAUAAAAGCCCACCAAGGCAAUGAUAGGUAGCUGGUCUAAGAGGAUGAACAGCCACAAUGGGAUUGAGAUACGGCCCAUAUUCCUACGGGAAGCAGCAGUAGGGAAUCUUCCACAAUGGACGAAAGUCUGAUGGAGCAAUGCCAUGUGAACGACGAAGGCCAGACAGGUCGUAAAGUUCUUUUAGAGGGGAAAAAUCUGAUGGUACCCUCUGAAUAAGUGACAGCAAACUAUGUGCCAGCAGCUGCGGUAAUACAUAGGUCGCGAGCGUUAUUCGGAUUUAUUGGGCGUAAAGCAAGCGCAGGCGGAUGAAUAAGUUCUGCAUUAAAAGCAGCUGCUUAACAGUUGUUUGUGCCGAAUACUAUUCAUCUAGAAUGUGGUAGAAAGUU
rnacentral:rRNA from 1 species